rnacentral:rRNA from 1 species
GAUGAACGCUGGCGGCGUGCCUAAUACAUGCAAGUCGAGCGAACGGACGAGAAGCUUGCUUCUCUGAUGUUAGCGGCGGACGGGUGAGUAACACGUGGAUAACCUCCCUAUAAGACUGGGAUAACUUCGGGAAACCGGAGCUAAUACCGGAUGAUAUUUUGAACCGCAUGGUUCAAAAGUGAAAGACGGUCUUGCUGUCACUUAUAGAUGGAUCCGCGCUGCAUUAGCUAGUUGGUAAGGUAACGGCUUACCAAGGCAACGAUGCAUAGCCGACCUGAGAGGGUGAUCGGCCACACGGGAACUGAGACACGGUCCAGACUCCUACGGGAGGCAGCAGUAGGGAAUCUUCCGCAAUGGGCGAAAGCCUGACGGAGCAACGCCGCGUGAGUGAUGAAGGUCUUCGGAUCGUAAAACUCUGUUAUUAGGGAAGAACAUAUGUGUAAGUAACUGUGCACAUCUUGACGGUACCUAAUCAGAAAGCCACGGCUAACUACGUG